rnacentral:rRNA from 1 species
UCGAGCGACACGGAUUUCUUCGGAUUGAAGUGCUGAGCGGCGGACGGGUGAGUAACGCGUGGGUACCUGCCUCAUACAGGGGGAUAACAGUUGGAAACGGCUGCUAAUACCGCAUAAGACCGCAUGGUAAAAACUCCGGUGGUGUGAGAUGGACCCGCGUCUGAUUAGCCAGUUGGCGGGGUAACGGCCCACCAAAGCGACGAUCAGUAGCCGGCCUGAGGGGGUGAACGGCCACAUUGGGACUGAGACACGGCCCAAACUCCUACGGGAGGCAGCAGUGGGGAAUAUUACACAAUGGGGGAAACCCUGAUGCAGCGACGCCGCGUGAGGAAGAAGUAUUUCGGUAUGUAAAGCUCUAUCAGCAGGGAAGAAAGUGACGGUACCUGAAUAAGAAGCCCCGGCUAACUACGUGCCAGCAGCCGCGGUAAUACGUAGGGGGCAAGCGUUAUCCGGAUUUACUGGGUGUAAAGGGAGCGUAGACGGCAAGGCAAGUCUGAAGUGAAAGCCCGGUGCUUAACGCCGGGACUGCUUUGGAAACUGUUUAGCUGGAGUGCCGGAGAGGUAAGCGGAAUUCCUAGUGUAGCGGUGAAAUGCGUAGAUAUUAGGAAGAACACCAGUGGCGAAGGCGGCUUACUGGACGGUAACUGACGUUGAGGCUCG